AGCUUUGCACAGUGGCAGUAUCGUAGCCAAUGAGGUUUAUCCGAGGCGCGAUUAUUGCUAAUUGAAAACUUUUCCCAAUACUGGGACCCUUACCGUCCUUAAAAUGAUUCACUUUUCAGAAAUUCAGUUUUCCACACAGCUAUUCAGAAGGAGGAGCAACUAUUUAGGAGUUGAA
rnacentral:snRNA from 1 species